UACGAAGGGGGCUAGCGUUGUUCGGAUUUACUGGGCGUAAAGCGCACGUAGGCGGGUCGUUAAGUCAGGGGUGAAAUCCCGGAGCUCAACUCCGGAACUGCCUUUGAUACUGUCGAUCUGGAGUAUGGAAGAGGUGAGUGGAAUUCCGAGUGUAGAGGUGAAAUUCGUAGAUAUUCGGAGGAACACCAGUGGCGAAGGCGGCUCACUGGUCCAUUACUGACGCUGAGGUGCGAAAGCGUGGGGAGCAAACAGG
rnacentral:rRNA from 1 species